rnacentral:rRNA from 1 species
GCCGAACCGUGCGAACGUUGUUCGGAAUCACUGGGCUUAAAGGGCGCGUAGGCGGCUUGCCAAGUCGGUGGUGAAAUCCUGCAGCUUAACUGUAGAAGUGCCUCCGAUACUGGCGAGCUCGAGGGAGGUAGGGGUCUGUGGAACUUCUGGUGGAGCGGUGAAAUGCGUUGAUAUCAGAAGGAACGCCGGUGGCGAAAGCGACGGACUGGACCUCAUCUGACGCUGAGGCGCGAAAGCUAGGGGAGCAAACAGG